CGAUGACUCGGGGAUAGCCUUUCGAAAGAAAGAUUAAUACCCGAUGGCAUAGUUCUUCCGCAUGGUAGAACUAUUAAAGAAUUUCGGUCAUCGAUGGGGAUGCGUUCCAUUAGGUUGUUGGCGGGGUAACGGGCCCACCAAGCCUUCGAUGGAUAGGGGUUCUGAGAGGAAGGUCCCCCACAUUGGAACUGAGACACGGUCCAAACUCCUACGGGAGGCAGCAUG
rnacentral:rRNA from 1 species